rnacentral:tRNA from 1 species
GGAGAGGUGGCUGAGCUGGUCGAAAGCGCUCGACUCGAAAUCGAGUAGGGGGGCUUACCACCUCCCUCGUGGGUUCGAAUCCCACCCUCUCCG